AUUGAACGCUGGCGGCAGGCCUAACACAUGCAAGUCGAACGAGUGGCGGACGGGAGAGUAAUGUAUGGGAAAAGGACUGGUGGAGGGGGAUAACUACUGGAAACGGUAGCUACUAACGCAUAGCAUCGGAUGUACCACGAUGGGAUUAGCUAGUAGGUGGGGUAAAGGCUCACCUAGGCGACGAUCCCUAGCUGGUCUGAGAGGAGGACCAGCCACCCUGGAACUGAGACACGGUCCAGACUCCUACGGUAGGCAGCAGUGGGGAAUAUUGCACAAUGGGCGCAAGCCUGAUGCAGCCAUGCCGCGUGUAUGAAGAAGGCCUUCGGGUUGUAAAGUACUUUCAGCGGGGAGGCGUUACCCGCAGAAGAAGCACCGGCUAACUCCGUGCCAGCAGCCGCGGUAAUUC
rnacentral:rRNA from 1 species